rnacentral:rRNA from 1 species
AGUGGCCCACGGGUGAGUAACGCCUGGGCAAUCUACCCUUGAAUCCGGAAUAACUCGCCAAAAGGCAUGCUAAUACCGAAUAAUAUCAUUUAAACCUUGGUUUUUAUGAUUAAAGGUGGCCUCUACAUGUAAGCUACCGUUUAAGGAUGAACCCGCGUACCAUUAGCUUGUUGGUGGGGUAAUGGCCUACCAAGGCUACGAUGGUUAGCUGGUCUGAGAGGAUGAUCAGCCACACUGGAACUGACACACGGUCCAGACUCCUACGGGAGGCAGCAGUGAGGAAUUUUGCGCAAUGGGCGAAAGCCUGACGCAGCAACGCCGCGUGAGUGAUGAAGGCUUUCGGGUCGUAAAGCUCUGUCAAGUGGGAAGAACCUAUGUAAUGCUAAUAUCAUUAUAUACUGACGGUACCACUGAAGGAAGCACCGGCUAACUCCGUGCCAGCAGCCGCGGUAAUACGGGGGGUGCAAGCGUUAUUCGGAAUCAUUGGGCGUAAAGAGCACGUAGGCGGCCUGGUAAGUCAGAUGUGAAAGCCCGGGGCUUAACCCCGGAAGUGCUUUUGAUACUGCCAGGCUUGACUAUGGGAGAGGGAAGAGGAAUUCCUGGUGUAGAGGUGAAAUUCGUAGAUAUCAGGAGGAACACCGGUGGCGAAGGCGACUUCCUGGACCAGUACUGACGCUGAGGUGCGAAGGCGUGGGUAGCUACAGGAUUAGAUACCC